CAGGGUGGGGGCCAGGGUCAAGGUGGGGGCCAGGGUCAAGGUGGCGGCCAGGGAGGGGGCCAGGGUCAAGGUGGAGGACAGGGACAGGGUGGCAGCCGGGGAGGUAAAUAAGUCUUAUUGUUCUGAGGUUAGGGAAGUUGUGAAAUUUGGUCCAGCUAGUGAUUCUGGGCAUUUUUUUGCAAUGCACUGGAGAGCUCUUCAUGUGGAAAUCUAUUCCCAUUUCCUCCAUUCUGUAAACCCACCCCUUCAGUCAAAUAAAGAUGAUUGCUUGA